UAGGGAAUCUUCGGCAAUGGACGGAAGUCUGACCGAGCAACGCCGCGUGAGUGAAGAAGGUUUUCGGAUCGUAAAGCUCUGUUGUUAGAGAAGAACGUUGGUAGGAGUGGAAAAUCUACCAAGUGACGGUAACUAACCAGAAAGGGACGGCUAACUACGUGCCAGCAGCCGCGGUAAUACGUAGGUCCCGAGCGUUGUCCGGAUUUAUUGGGCGUAAAGCGAGCUCAGGCGGUUCUUUAAGUCUGAAGUUAAAGGCGGGGGCUUAACCCUUGUACGCCUUGGAAACUGGAGGACUUGAGUGCAGAAGGGGAGGGUGGAAUUCCAUGUGUAGCGGUGAAAUGCGUAGAUAUAUGGAGGAACACCGGUGGCGAAAGCGGGCCUCUGGUCUGUAACUGACACUGAGGGUCGAAAGCGUGGGGAGCAAACAGG
rnacentral:rRNA from 1 species